rnacentral:rRNA from 2 species
CUUGACCUCAAAUCAGGCGG